rnacentral:rRNA from 1 species
GAUGAACGCUAGCUACAGGCUUAACACAUGCAAGUCGAGGGGAAACGGCAUCGAAAGCUUGCUUUUGAUGGGCGUCGACCGGCGCACGGGUGAGUAACGCGUAUCCCACCUGCCCAUCACUUGGUAAUGACCUUGCGAAAGUAAGAAUAAUGCCCACUGCCAUCCCACGAAAGCAUCCGAAUUGGGUUACAGGUUUAUCGGAGAUGGCUGAGGAUGCGUCUGAUUAGCGUGGUGGCGGGGGGACGGCCCACCAAGGCAACGAUCAGUAUGGGUUCUGAGAGGAAGGUCCCCUACAUUGGAACUGAGACACGGUCCAAACUCCUACGGGAGGCAGCAGUGAGGAAUAUUGGUCAAUGGGCGAGAGCCUGAACCAGCCAAGUAGCGUGCAGGAUGACGGCCCUAUGGGUUGUAAACUGCUGUUAUAAGAGAAUAAAGUGGGUCACGUGUGACUUUUUGCAUGUACCUUAUGAAUAAGGACCGGCUAAUUCCGUG